rnacentral:lncRNA from 1 species
UCACCACUUUUUUCUGCACCAGAAAAUCGAUGGAUGCGUCGCCCAAAAUUCCCUGCAGCAGGAGCAGCACCAUAUGUUCCGAUUCGACAUAUGCGAUCACCUUGCCAGGGAAUUGCACCAGGAUGCGUCGCCCAAAAUUCCCUGCAGCAGGAGCAGCACCAUAUGUUCCGAUUCGACAUAUGCGAUCACCUUGCCAGGGAAUUGCACCACCAGUUACCAUAAGGACUGCAAUACCUGUAUUCUCCCCGCCACCAGCCGCAGUGUCUCCUCAAGUAAUGCCGCUUCCUCCUGUACGAGUUGCUGCUCCGAUCAAUAUUCGACAAGCAGUUCCAGCAUAUGCCGCUCCACAAGUUCGAAAAGACGAACCUGCUCCCAUCAGCAAAGACGAUCUAGCGCGAGCACUAUGUGCCACUCCACCACUUCGAGUAGAUGAAC